AGAGAGAGAGAGCUGGGAGCUCUGACCCGGACGCCACCGACCCGAGAAGGAGACCCGGCCGCCGCGCCACCGUCCGGCCACCGAUCGCUGACGGACGACCACCAUCUGCUUCAUCACCGCGUCGCCUACCUCCCUACACCCUCAGAUCGCCCAUGCACCGGACGAGGAGGGAGACUCGACAGUGAGAAGCAGCGACUGCGCCGGCGAGUUUCUGCAAUUUCCGGCCACCGCUUGGGCCGCAUUCGGUAUGAAAGUCCAUCCUCUUGUCAUGCUCAACACUCUAGUGUAAUUGGUUUUUGAAAUCGAUUAAGUUUUGAUGAUUUGGUUUCUGGGUUGGUUUUGAGCUCGACGCUGUCACCGACCCCGGCGACUUUUCCGGCGAUCUUCUGGGCUGUUCGAGAUUUUGGAGUCUUUCAUUCGUCUUUGAUGGAAACUCUGAACCUUGGGCUCGAAAGGGUGGUUGUUCGAGCUUAAUCCGCAGCGUUGGGCCGAGUUGACCAACUCAGAAUUGAUUAAGCCGGUUCCGGCUUGCUGUGUUCGUCGUCAAGGAGCAGACCUGCAAGUUCAGGGUUCUGUUCUUGAUCUCGUUUAAUCACAAGGUCAGUUGGAAGUUGUUUGAGAAUUCUGGGGAUUCAGUUGUGUAGUUAGCUGCUGGAAUUGAUUUUCCCUUGUUUAUAUGCUUACUGCAAAUUCGUGUUUUUGAGAAUGGUGAAUUGAAUCGAUGUGAUUUCAUUCUUGGUUGAUAGUUACUGACAGUUGAGAAAUGAGAACUAUGUUGCGAUUAAGUUGGUUUUUAUAAGCCCGACUUUUUAUCAAUGUUCCUACGGCAAUUUGUUGAGAAAAAUUAUUGGUGAAUCUGUGUUCAAGUUUGGUAUUACAGUUUAACUUGGAAUCAUGUGGGUGUCCAUAGUAAUUCCUUCGAAUUACUAUGUGACUAGAUUGUUAAUGGAAUUUGAAAAGUUAUAAGAAUUUGGAAAUGGUGGUAAUAGUAUGAGAAUCGAAUAAUGUUUCAAGUUCAAAUGAUAUCGGAAACUGGGGCUUAGUUAUAAUUGGUUGGUCAAACGUGGUCAAAUUGGUCAACUCCUGGUCAAACCAGGAAAAGUUGGUUGGACGAUUUAUUAAUCGUCGAGAUUUCAUAUAAUUGUUGAAUGAGAUAUUAACUAUCAAAAUGUCGGAAUCUAAGACUCCAGUUACCCGAGGAACGGAAGGUUUGUGAAUUUCGGAUAACGUAAAAGGUUAAAGCAUCGGAAUCCAGUGUGGUUGCAGGUACUGUGCACUGGAAAUGGGAUUGGAGCGGACGGAGCUGGGUGUGCAUAUUUCAAUAGAAGUCAGGUUCUGGGUUCCAAUCUUAUUCCUGUUCCUUAAAAUUGUAUUUUCGGAACUUGCCACAAUUUGUUUGUUUUAUGCUAAGUCCUUUAUUCCUCGGUUGUUUGCAACGUUAAGUCCUGGACGAACAUUUGAAUUAAAAGUUUUAAAGUUUUCACCUCAAUAUUAUUUUAAACGUUUUCGCUGUGUGGUUUACGAAAAAUUAUUUAAUAAAAUGCCUUGCGGGUUUCUGGAAUGUAAACCGAACCUUCGGUUUAUGUUUCGGCGUCUCGCGACACUGUGACGUGUUCAAGCUGGUGAGGUGCAGUUUAGGGCAUUACACCUACACUAGUCUUGCGAUGGGCCAUCCUACAAGCCAAGGCUCGCUUUGGCAUCUUUGAUGUAUGAAUAGGCAUUCUCUCGACCUCUAUUUAGUCCAUUAUUCCAAGCCUUGUGGGAGUUAUUAAGCCAAGGAUGUUCUUGAUUAUCUGUCUUAGCGUAGCACAUGAGGCGCGCAUGUUACUUGGUUAUUAGCUUGUUGUCUUUUAUACCUUCUGGAGUUCUGGUUUGUUGCAAAUAGCUAAUAAUCAGCGGCAUAAGUUCGGGCGAAGAAGUGUCUCUUCCAGUCUAGCUCCUUAUGCAGAGAAUUGUGCAGCAGGCGAGUCUGAAUCAUGGCUUUACCGAAGCAGACCACUAUUCAAAUCAUGGCUUUCUUUUCCUUUAUCGAAGUCUAAACGCAAGCCUCCUCACAGCUUCAAAUGAAGUAAGAAACUAAGAAUAAAUUCAUAUCUUCAUGAAAUUGCCAUUUAAGAGGUCUAUUUACCUAUGAAGAUCGAAUACCCAUCUCUGAGGUUCCUAUUUCAAUUAGAACAGAGAAGAGGGCACCGCUUCAAAGGGGCUCCAUUCCUUUGCUCUAUACUUUGUGGUGCUAAGCUACACUUUAGAAUGGUAGAAUGCCUCAA